rnacentral:lncRNA from 10 species
AGGAAGGAAACAAAGCUUAAGGCAGUGAUUGAUAGGUUAUUUCUUGGACACAGCUGAACGUAUACUGUGCGCCUGCAACUUUCCGGUGGUUUCGGACCGGACUUCAGUGAAGCCAGUGAAGUCGGUCGACUUGCAGAACUUCCUUUCAGAGGGGCGUACACAGCACCGCGGCCGUGUGCCUGUGAUCUCCUUCUGAGUUUGAAAAAGAAGAUCCUAGACACCGAGCCAAAUAUGUUUGCAUAAACCGGGAGACUUGUGGCUCUAUUUUGUAACAGCUUGGCGCAGGGCAGCUGGUUUGGAGAUGUCUCUGUUCUUCCCUUGGUGGGGGUGCCGGAAAAAAUGUGCUGCCUGGGCGAUCGAGGUUGGGGCAAAAGCGUUGCAAAGGAAAAGGUGGGAGGACUCUACUUUCACAUUUCCCAAAAGAGUUUUACCAUAAGACUAUUUCUGGAUUGUUCUAACGUGAGGAUAUUGGGAGCAUUUUGAAAAUACUGGAGGAAAAGCUGUCACUGGGCGAUUUAAAUCCGAGACAGAUUCACUCUGUCAUCCAAGCUGGAGUGCAGUGUGAGCCGAGAUCACGCUAGUGCACUCUAGCCUGGGUGACAGAGCGAAACUCUGUCUAAAAAAAAGAAGUUAUUUUUUAUCAAUAUAUAUUAACAUGCAAUGGAUUUAUUAUUAUUAUUAUUUUAUUUAUUUAUUUUUUACUUGAGACAGAGUCUUGCUCUGCCACCCAGGCUGGAGUGCAAUGGUACAAUCAUGGCUCACUGCAACCUCCACCUCCCAGGUUCAGGUGAUUCUCCUGCCUUAGCCUCCAGAAGUAGCUGGGAUUACAGGCACGUACCACCAUGCCCAGCUAAUAUUUGUAUUUUUAGUACAGAUGGGGUUUCACCAUGUUGGCCAGGCUGGUCAAGAACUCCGGACCUCAGGUGAUCCACCCUCCUCAGCCUCCCAAAGUGCUGGGAUUAUAGGUGUGAACCACAAUGCCCAGCCAGAUUUAUUAUUUUAAUGACUUAAUAAAUAUUUUAAAAUUUAAAUAUUUAAAUUAAAUUAAAUAUUUAAAAAUUUCUCAGUUUUAAUUUUUAAUUUGGCAAAUAUCAAGAGAAAGACCAUGUCAAAAAGA